UCUCGGCUUAUCACCGGCAGUCCCCCUAGAGUGCCCAACUUAAUGCUGGCAACUAGGGGCGAGGGUUGCGCUCGUUGCGGGACUUAACCCAACAUCUCACGACACGAGCUGACGACAGCCAUGCAGCAUCUGUGGUGCACCCUCGAAGGUCACACGUUUCCGUGCGCUUGCAGCACCAUGUCAAGCCUAGGUAAGGUUCUUCGCGUUGCAUCGAAUUAAGCCACAUGCUCCGCCGCUUGUGCGGGCCCCCGCCAAUUCCUUUGAGUUUUAGCCUUGCGACCGUACUCCCCAGGCGGGGCACUUAAUGCGUUAGCUGCGGCACCCAGGGGGUCAAUACCCCGGACACCUAGUGCCCAUCGUUUACAGCGUGGACUAC
rnacentral:misc_RNA from 1 species